GUAUAAGAGACAGCAGCAGCCGCGGGAAUACGGAGGGAGCUAGCGUUAUUCGGAAUUACUGGGCGUAAAGCGCACGUAGGCGGCUUUGUAAGUAAGAGGUGAAAGCCCGGGGCUCAGCCCCGGAAUUGCCUUUUAGACUGCAUCGCUUGAAUCAUGGAGAGGUCAGUGGAAUUCCGAGUGUAGAGGUGAAAUUCGUAGAUAUUCGGAAGAACACCAGUGGCGAAGGCGGCUGACUGGACAUGUAUUGACGCUGAGGUGCGAAAGCGUGGGGAGCAAACAGGAUUAGAUACCCCUGUAGUCCCUGUCUCUUAUAA
rnacentral:rRNA from 1 species